rfam:Erinaceus europaeus unplaced genomic scaffold scaffold00740, whole genome shotgun sequence
CAAAAGGCUCUUUUAAGAGCCACCCACAUUUUCACUCAAAAUCACU